UACGAAGGGGGCUAGCGUUGCUCGGAAUCACUGGGCGUAAAGGGUGCGUAGGCGGGUCUUUAAGUCAGAGGUGAAAUCCUGGAGCUCAACUCCAGAACUGCCUUUGAUACUGAGGAUCUUGAGUUCGGGAGAGGUGAGUGGAACUGCGAGUGUAGAGGUGAAAUUCGUAGAUAUUCGCAAGAACACCAGUGGCGAAGGCGGCUCACUGGCUCGUUUCUGACGCUCAGGCGCGACAGCGUGGGGAUCAAACAGG
rnacentral:rRNA from 1 species